AUGAGGCUGAAACCCCAUGUGACGAAGUCACAUGCUACGAAUGGUUUCAGCAGACCUGCCGCCGAACAGAGUGAGGGGGCGAUACCCGGG
ncrna:unclassified sequences GA-cis RNA